UAAAUUUUAACUUUUCUGGUUUUACAUCUAUAUACUUAAACAUAGUUUUAGUUUAACAUACACUGUGUAGUGGUGAAGUGUAGGUUACACACUUGUUUUGCAUAUUAUUUCAAUGGUGUUCACAGCAAUAAAUUUUCAAUGUGAGAAAAUAAUUCUGAGGUUGCAGGGUGAUGCCUCUGUAAAAACUGAUCGCACGACAUAAACAUCUAAAAGAAUGACACUAGGUUUCAUAAAAGAGAAAGAUACCAUUAUAACCAGCUUUAAUCAGCAAGGCAAAAAAAUGCAAAACAUCUUUUGUGGUACUUUAGUUGAUAAAACACAUGCCAAGAGGUGGCCUGGAUUUCAGACAUAACACUAUCCUAGAAGUACAUGUAAUUUCAAAGAAGUACAGCUGCCAAGAAAUUGUGUAAGACGUCUGAAAGGCUCUUCAUCACCCCAAAAAUAGAUGACACCGAGUUAAAAUUCAAUACCCAUUUCUUCUGUUUCAUAUCUUCAUAUAUUCUUAAUUUUGCAGGUUAAAAGAUCUCACAAGUCUUUUCCCUACCCCUCUCAUUCAGCCUUACUCAGGGAAAGCCAGAGUAAUAAAAAGGAACAUAAAACCACCAAUUUACAUAUAUAUAUAUGUUCCAUUGUAUCUAUUUAACACAAACUAAUUUCAUCUGAACGGAUUCUAAAAGAUGGUGGAAAAAUAAAUUGAAUUGUAACUUUCUAAAUGGUCUAUCUGGGAGGCUUACUGUUUGUAACUGAUUUCAGUGUUUCUUCCCAGAAAGAGUUUCAAAAUUUUACACAUAGAUAGAAACUGAUAGUACUGGUAAAAUAUAUAUCUAAUUUUACUGACCUACAAAAUACGUAGCAGGUUUUCCCCCCUGAAUGCAGAAGGAAAAGAGAGGACGCUGAAUUUUUGAAGGAAAAAGACUUGAAUCCAACCCAAUUAUCUUUAUACUAAAGAGGUCAGGUUCCGUGUGUCACCUGCAACUCACAGAAGUUUUCACACUACCUGGCACAAACUGACUACAUUUCUUGAUUGUAACUUUUCUGAUUGAGUAUGCUUCUUUUUUAAUCCAUGUAAUGUGUUGCCUUUAAAAACAAAAACGAUGACUACAAUAAUGUGUGAGGUGGUACAUCCCUAAGAAAUCAAGGAAAGGUCACUUCAAUCACACCCUUCUAGUGCUUCGCGUGACUGGAUAUCUAAGGGGUUUGUUUUGUUUUGUUUUUCUGUUGCAAGGCCAAUUUAUCCAUUAUUGAAAAUGCUAAGCAAGUGGAAUUUACUGUUUUGUUAAUAAAAUAUUUCUUAAUACAACUGUGGUUUAUUGACUUUAAAAAUUACAGGUGACACCAUUUUGCCACUGAAUAUAGCAGUCAGAAAGACUGCAUUUGAAAGGUAAUCUUAUCCCCAGACACACAGGAAAAGAUGAUUUCACACCCCUUUUGGUGUUUCCUACUCAGUCCAUCCCUCUGCUCAUACACUUAAGAUGCAGGUAGCUCUCAUGGAAAAUUGCAGAACUAGCAGGGAAUCAUACUGAUUCAUAUACUGAUUCAUAUAUACCGAUGUCAUAAAUACACUCUGUAAGUUGCAAUGGAAUCAAAGUUAAAUACACUUGUAAUUAACUAAAGAA
rnacentral:lncRNA from 1 species